rnacentral:rRNA from 1 species
GACGAACGCUGGCGGCAUGCCUUACACAUGCAAGUCGAACGGCAGCGCGGGGCAACCUGGCGGCGAGUGGCGAACGGGUGAGUAAUGCAUCGGAACGUACCCGGAAGUGGGGGAUAACGUAGCGAAAGUUACGCUAAUACCGCAUAUUCUGUGAGCAGGAAAGUGGGGGAUCGCAAGACCUCACGCUUUCGGAGCGGCCGAUGUCGGAUUAGCUAGUUGGUGGGGUAAAGGCUUACCAAGGCGACGAUCCGUAGCGGGUCUGAGAGGAUGAUCCGCCACACUGGGACUGAGACACGGCCCAGACUCCUACGGGAGGCAGCAGUGGGGAAUUUUGGACAAUGGGGGCAACCCUGAUCCAGCCAUGCCGCGUGAGUGAAGAAGGCCUUCGGGUUGUAAAGCUCUUUCGGCCGGGAAGAAAUCGCCUGGGAUAAUACCCUGGGUGGAUGACGGUACCGGAAUAAGAAGCACCGGCUAACUACGUGCCAGCCGCCGCCGUAA